UUAGUUUAAGGUUUAAGAUUUGACUGAUAAUUUGGUCGGAGUGACCAAAAUUGAUAAAAAUUGAGUAGUCAAGGUGCUAAAUUAACAGUUUUGAAAGUCAUGGAAUGUAAUUAAUAAGACCUCAAUAGUCACAUGACCAAAAUUAAAAUUUA